CACGUAGGGCGCAAGCGUUUGUCCGGAAUUAUUGGGCGUAAAGAGCUCGUAGGCGGUCUGUUGCGUCCGCUGUGAAAACUCGGGGCUUAACCCCGAGCCUGCAGUGGAUACGGGCAGACUAGAGGUAGGUAGGGGAGAAUGGAAUUCCCAGUGUAGAGGUGAAAUUCGUAGAUAUUGGGAAGAACACCGGUGGCGAAGGCGGCUCACUGGCUCGUAACUGACGCUCAUGCACGACAGCGUGGGGAUCAAACAGG
rnacentral:rRNA from 1 species